CCUACGGGAGACAGCAGUAGGGAAUAUUGCUCAAUGGGGGAAACCCUGAUGCAGCAACGCCGCGUGGAGGAUGAAGGUUUUCGGAUUGUAAACUCCUUUUGUUAGAGAAGAUAAUGACGGUAUCUAACGAAUAAGCACCGGCUAACUCCGUGCCAGCAGCCGCGGUAAUACGGAGGGUGCAAGCGUUACUCGGAAUCACUGGGUGUAAAGAGCGCGUAGGCGGGAUAGCAAGUCAGAUGUGAAAUGCUAUGGCUUAACCAUAGAACUGCAUUGGAAACUGUUAUGCUAGAGUAGGGGAGAGGUAGGUGGAAUUCUUGGUGUAGGGGUAAAAUCCGUAGAGAUCAAGAGGAAUACUCAUUGCGAAGGCGACCUACUAGAACAUAACUGACGCUGAUGCGCGAAAGCGUGGGGAGCAAACAGGAUUAGAUAUCCUAGUAGUC
rnacentral:rRNA from 1 species